UGGGGAAUAUUGGACAAUGGGCGAAAGCCUGAUCCAGCCAUGCCGCGUGUGUGAAGAAGGUCUUCGGAUUGUAAAGCACUUUAAGUUGGGAGGAAGGGCAUUAACCUAAUACGUUAGUGUUUUGACGUUACCGACAGAAUAAGCACCGGCUAACUCUGUGCCAGCAGCCGCGGUAAUACAGAGGGUGCAAGCGUUAAUGGGAAUUACUGGGCGUAAAGCGCGCGUAGGUGGUUUGUUAAGUUGGAUGUGAAAGCCCCGGGCUCAACCUGGGAACUGCAUCCAAAACUGGCAAGCUAGAGUACGGUAGAGGGUGGUGGAAUUUCCUGUGUAGCGGUGAAAUGCGUAGAUAUAGGAAGGAACACCAGUGGCGAAGGCGACCACCUGGACUGAUACUGACACUGAGGUGCGAAAGCGUGGGGAGCAAACA
rnacentral:rRNA from 1 species